GACGAACGCUGGAGGCGUGCUUAACACAUGCAAGUCGAACGAUGAAAUGGAGCUUGCUCCAUGGAUUAGUGGCGAACGGGUGAGUAACACGUGAAUAACCUGCCCUUAAUUUUGGAAUAACCCAGGGAAACCUGGGCUAAUACCGGAUAAGUAAACCUGUGGCAUCACAUGGUUUUGGAAAGUUUUUCGAUUAAGGAUGGAUUCGCGGCCUAUCAGCUUGUUGGUGAGGUAAUGGCUCACACAGGCGACGACGGGUAGCCGGCCUGAGAGGGACAGCGGCCACACGGGGACAGAGACACGGCCCAGACUCCUACGGGAGGCGUCAGUGGGGAAUAUUGCGCAAUGGACGAAAGUCUGGCGCAGCGACGCCUCGUGAGGGACGAAGGUCUUCGGAUUGUAAACCUCUUUCAGCAGGGACGAAGCGAAAGUGACGGUACCUGCAGAAGAAGCACCGGCUAACUAUGUGCCAGCCGCCGCCGUAA
rnacentral:rRNA from 1 species